rnacentral:rRNA from 1 species
CCUACGGGAGGCAGCAGUGGGGAAUAUUGGGCAAUGGGCGCAAGCCUGACCCAGCAACGCCGCGUGAAGGAAGAAGGCUUUCGGGUUGUAAACUUCUUUUGUCAGGGACGAAGCAAGUGACGGUACCUGACGAAUAAGCCACGGCUAACUACGUGCCAGC